GGAGAGUUGUCCGAGCUGGCCUAAGGAGCACGACUGGAAAUCGUGUAACCGUCACAAGCGGUUCGAGGGUUCGAAUCCCUUGCUCUCCGCCA
rnacentral:tRNA from 1 species